CUUCUAUAACAGUGACACUUCGAGGAGCGCAGCCGAGUAGAGUGGGAUCUCUCAGCCAAGUUGGUGAGGUUGUGACGCCAGCUCGUACCCAUGAGCCCAAGCAGUGAAAAUCUCAGAUCACGGUUUCCAUGUGGUGAUACACCUGAUGUAAGCUGGUGCUGUGCCAGAGGCAUCUGGGAGCCACAGCCUGCUGAUGAGACUGUACCCUCCCUGUAAUGAUGUACACACCACGCUGCCAAAACGAGCAGAACACCUGCCUCACAUCCUCCAGAGUACUCUCCUGUCGAGAUGCUUGAAAAAAGCCUGGGAGUCACUGUCGGUUGUGGAUGAGCCGCUACCAUGCUUAACCUCUGUGUACAUAUGAGUAGCAUUGACUCGCCAAAAUCUGUGCUCUCUUCUUUCAUCCUUAACUUUGAUAAGAAAAUGUUGACAGCCAGAUACACAGCAUGGUCACAUGUUAUCCUUUAGGGAAGAAGUAAUAUCAUAAGUGGAUAAACUGCAACCUCCCUGGACUGUGAUAAUACAACUGUAAAAGGACAGAUGUGCAACUCUUGGUGCUGACUAUACACCAACAGUGUAUUGCAACAACAAAAUGCUGUUUGAUUGUAUAUUAAGUUAAAAUCCCUUUCCCACCAUCUCUGCUACAGUAUCUAUGAUUAACAUGAAUGUGUGUCAAGCAUUUUGAUGUCACAGCUGGAUAUUUCUGAAUAUCCCUGUAUUUGUGAAGUAACUAAAUUUGAAUGUUAGUCAUUGCUUUGAUAUUAUUUAUCACAGUAAUUAUAUCAUCAUCAUUAUA